rnacentral:rRNA from 1 species
GACGAACGCUGGCGGCGUGCUUAACACAUGCAAGUCGAACGGAAAGGCCCUGCUUUUGUGGGGUGCUCGAGUGGCGAACGGGUGAGUAACACGUGAGUAACCUGCCCUUGACUUUGGGAUAACUUCAGGAAACUGGGGCUAAUACAGGAUAGGAGCUCCUGCUGCAUGGUGGGGGUUGGAAAGUUUCGGCGGUUGGGAAUGGACUCGCGGCUUAUCAGCUUGUUUGUGGGGUAGUGGCUUACCAAGUCUGUGACGGGUAGCCGGCAUGUGAGGGUGAACGGCCACAAUGGGCCUGAGGUAGGGACCAGACGCGAACGGGAGGCAACAGGGGAGAGUAUUACACAAUGGGCCGAAGUCUGAUGCAACAACGCCGCGUGCGUGAUGACCGCCUUCUGGUUAUAAACAGCUUUCGCCUGUGACGAAGCGGGAGUGACGGUAAUGGGUAAAGAAGCACCGGCUAACUACGUG